UUUCUUUUUGGACUUAUUUAACAUGAUAUUUUUCUUACAAGGCCCAUACUUUAACAAUUAUUUAAGACACCAUGUACGUGUGGCCUUCUAAUUCAGCCACCUAAUUUCAAUCUCAUCUCAUUCUAUUCAGCCAAAGCCACGUAUCAAUCAAAUUCCAUAAUAUUUAUUCAUCAUAUUUAUUUCUUUCACCAGCCAUCAUCACUCAUUCGUUUCUGAAAAUUCUGUCAAACUACAUUUACCCAACAAACUUGAUUCUCAAACUGUUCUUCUCACUACAUGCAUCAAAAGGGUGCGGCGCGACUAGGACGUUACUUUUGAUUGAAUUAUUCAAGAUAACAUUCAAGUUGAAGUUCAAAUACAGGUGUGAGAUUUAUUUCAGUACAUGCUGUAGUUAAUCUUUGUCCAUUUUAAUAUUAUUUGUUUACCAUACGUGAGUUGCAUUAAAUUAUAUCGCUAGGGGCCCGUUGAAUGGGUCCAGGAUGGAAAGAUCCUUGGUAUGCCACAAUGCGAUAUUAUGUUAAAGUUAUGGUUGCAACCAGUCGCCAGGGGCCGGCUGAAUCGGUCCAGGACGGAAAGGUCCUUGGUAUGCCACAGUGCGACUUUCAGUUACGAAUGUAUUGAUCAUAUGUGAUUCUCAUUUUAUUAACGUGGACAAUGAUUGCAUGUUCCCACACUGAGUGUACCCUGUAUGCUCAUCCCAUACUUAACAUUUUCAGGUUUUUAAAGGCCGGAGGCGCGUGGAAGGUCGAAUGGCGAGUCAAAUAUUUUAAAUUUAGCAUUACUUAGAAAUGUUAUUUUGAGUAAAGUAUGUUUAAAUAAAAAUUUAUUUCACUAUUUUCUUGUUAAA